CCUACGGGGGGCUGCAGUCGAGGAUCUUCGGCAAUGGGCGCAAGCCUGACCGAGCGACGCCGCGUGCGGGAUGAAGGCCCUCGGGUUGUAAACCGCUUUGGACCGGGGGAAAGAGGGGCAACCCUUUGAUCUACCGGAGGAACAAGCACGGGCUAAGUUCGUGCCAGCAGCCGCGGUAAGACGAACCGUGCGAACGUUGUUCGGAAUCACUGGGCUUAAAGGGCGCGUAGGCGGCCGCACAAGCCCCGGGUGAAAGCCCCCGGCUCAACCGGGGA
rnacentral:rRNA from 1 species